CUAAAACUACAAAAAAAUUAACCGAGUGUGGUGGUACGUGCCUGUAGUCCCAACUACUCGGGAGGCUGAGGUGGGAAUUGCUUGAACUCGGGAGGCAGAGUUUGCAGUGAGCCGAGAUCACGCCACUGAACUCCAUCUUGUUGACAGAGUGAGACUCCAUCUCAAAAAAAAAAAAAAAAAAGGAACUGGUAAAACAUUACUAUGGUCUUAGAGGCUCAGAGUAGAGGCUCAGGUAGUGACUGGAAGGGCACCAGGAAGGUUUUGGGGGCGCAGUAAUGCUCUCUGUUUCUUGAUCCAGGUGCUGACUAGAUGGUUGUGAUUGUUUUGUGCAAGUUUGUUGAGCUGUACCACUUGUAAUCCAUCCACAUCUCUGGAUGCAUAUUAUACUAAAUAAAAAGUUUACGUUCAUAAAAGAAACCAUGGGACAUAAAGGAUACGUUCUUGCAAACUUCCUUUAUGUCUUUCUAAAAUCUCCCCUGCGUUCCUCUCUAGGUCCUUCAACAUGAAUGUUUGGAGAACUAAGAGAAAGAAACACAAACCCUGACUAACUUGAAUUUAGGAUUUUUUGACUUACAAUAGGUUUAUUGGGACGUAACCCCAUCGUAGGUCAAGGAGCAUCUGGACUUACAAUGGUUUACCUUAGGAUAUUUUGAGUUUAUCAUGGGUUUAUCAAGGUAUUAAAUGCAUUUUGAUUUAUGAUAUUUUAGACUUAUCAUUAGUUUAUCAGGCUGUAACCCCACUGGAAGUCUAGGAGGACCUGUAUUUUAAUUUAAAAAACAUGCAAGCCUGUUUACAUAUUUAUUUUAUAUUUCUUCACCACAUCUACAAAGCAGACCACAAUUAACUUUGUAGAAAAGGAGAUAUGAAAUCUAAAUGUUCCAGGACAUAGUUGUGAGAGCUGCAAAGAUGAGUCGAUUGAUUUUGUUUGGGGUCCUCCUUCUUGCUGAUGCUGGCUGACCUUGUUUACUCAGCCUCCAUCCUUGGGCCUGGUCAAAGAGUAUUGCCGACUAGCCUGCCUCUUCCUCAUCUAUACUGUCAUAAGACUAUCUCUUUUUUGUCCAGGUACCCCUGUUGCAGUCUUAAAGGUUGUCUUUCAAAAGUUGAAAGACACAAAACUUGAUGUGAUCUGGCUGCUCUAACUUGAUUCCGUGGUUGUGCAGAAAAACCCUCCCCACCAUUCUCGUCUCCCGAAAAGCAUUCAUUAAGGGUUUGAACGGGAUGGAAAUAAUUAAUCUCACCUAUUUGCUCAAUGUGUUGCCCAGGCUGCAACUCCAGUCUAUGAAUGUCUUAUCUGCCCAUUCACAGCGAUUCGAAAACGAAUUUUAAACAGUAGAACCAUUAAUUUGGUGACCUUUUAGGCACCCAACACCAGCCACCUGGAAUCUCUCUGUCAGUUCACAGAGCCCAAGGGUGGUGCUUCAGCACCCUAGGAAAUGUGCCAGCAAGGUCUACAGUAUCAGCAACUUUACCUCUCCCUCCCAGAGCUUUCUGGAGUGCUUAGCAGAAGACAGAGGACUCUAAAGUGUGAAUGUGGAAUGGAAAUUGAGGCCACCGGCAACGGCUGCGUCGAAGAGUAACUUGCGAACGCAUAGGGAUUCACAGGAUAGAUAUUGUCUGGAUAUCAGGGCGAAAUGUUAAUUAGGGAUCAAAAUGUCCUUUUAAAUUAGCUAUGUUGAAGAGAAAGGAGAAGACCAGGAAACAGAAGAAAGAUAUCGUUAUGUGGUAUUUUGGAAUAAAUAUUUAUAGAAAACAAUGAUCUGUUUGUUUAAAAACUACCGAUCUAAAAUGCUGCCCCGUCUCAUCCCUUCUUCCUGCUUUAUUUUCCUUCUCACUGUUUAUUCCCUGACAUGUUGUAAACUAACUUAUUUAUCUUGCAAAUGUUUCCUACUAGAAUGUAAGGCCCAUGAGGGCGGACGUUUUGCCUCAUUCUCUUUGGAACAGUGGACACACAGGGACUUACACAAAAAUCUGUUGAAUGAAUGAAUGUACGCUUCCAUACAUUGUAUUGGAACCUUUUCAUAUCUUUACAAACUUGUAGCAAAUCAACCAAACGUUAUUAGAAGGCCUAUUGUUUCUGUACACAUUCAAAGUAGUUCCUUAAAGUGUUCAGUGUUUUUUACCAGUUUAUUUUCAUGAAACUUUUUUAAAACACACGUCUUAAGGAUCAUACCGUGUUUUUUGAUGCUGCAGUUUUCCGUGUAUCUAAUUACAGGACUGUUUCCAAUACUCUCCCUGGUUCUGCAUUUCCUCAGCCACCAUGAGCACAUUCUAUUCUAUGGUCAUUGGAUCGGCAUUUUAAAUCCUGUUUGGCAGAAAGAGAGUCUCAUGUUUAGGUCCAAGAUGUAAUGGAUCUCUCUAAAGGACAGCAUGACAUUUCCUGUGUAAAACAACUAAAAUCCAGAAUCCACUUCCUGGUCAAUAUCGUGGGGACUACCUAAGCAGCAUGUGAGAACACACACACACACACACACACACACACACCACACACAACAGAAAAGUGAGUGAUAAUCGAUUUUAAGGACUAACUCUGGAGCCAGACUAACUGGGCUCUGAUUACAGCUCUGAUUACAGCUCUGGUGGUAACUAGCUUUACGAUCUUGGGCACAUUAUUUAACCUCUUGUCCCUCAGUUGCUUCAUCUGUAAAACCGAGAUAACAAUUGCAAUUAUCUCAUAAAAUUAUUGGAAGGAGUUAAUGAAUUAGUAUCAGUAAAGUGAUUGGAACAAUUCCUGGCAUAUAAUAAGCUCCACAUAUAUGCUAUAUAAAUGCUAGUUAAAUAACUAGUUAAACACACAAUGAAAUGUAAUAAAAGAAAAUAAAAUUAAAGAUAAUAUAUUACCAAUUGGGUAGAUGGCAACAGAGAGAAUGAAGACAAAGAUGAAUAAUCAGAGAUCUCUUCUACCUGGAGAGAUAUUCCAUUAUAUGACAUGGUGGCAACUUGAGUGUGUAUAUAUAUAUAUAUAUAAUUCCCACAUUUAAGAAAAAAAGGUAUUCAAACAAAAAUCUGUACCCAUUCGAAUUUUGCAUAAAGAGAACCAUGAUGAGAAGGAAUUACUGUACUUUGGUGUGCUCAUAAAAUUAUUAUAUAUUUAUAAUGAUUUUUAAAAAUAUGGACUUUAGAUGACUAAUUUCUUAAUAUUGUACCUGUACAGAGACAUUUGGAGAAACAAAUUAAACCUUUAUAGAUAACCUUAAAUAUCUGAAUAUGUAUAGAGUUGAAUGAUGGGACAAUUGAGGGAAGGGGUAGACAGACAUUAGGAAAAACAAAUUAAACCUUUAUAGAUAACCUUAAAUAUCUGAACACAUGUCUAGUUGAAUGAUGGGACAAUGGAGGAAAGGGUGUAGUGAGCAUAGUUUGAAUGAUGGACAAUGGAAGGAAGGGGUGUAGUGAGCAUAGUCAGUUGGAAUGAUAGAUAAUGGAAGGAAGGGUGUAGUAAGCAUAGUCAGUUUGAAUGAUGGACAAUGAUAGGAAAGGUGUAGUGAGCAUAGUCAGUUUGAAUGAUGGACAAUGGAAGGAAGGGUGUAGUGAGCAUAGUCAGUUUGAAUGAUGGACAAUGAUAGGAAGGGUGUAGUGAGCAUAGUCAGUUUGAAUGAUGGACAAUGGAGGGAAGGGGUGUAGUGAGCAUAGUCAGUUAUGGAAGGAAGGGGUGUAGCGAGCAUAGUCGGUUUGAAUGAUGGACAAUGGAGGGAAGGGGUGUAGUGAGCAUAGUUUGAAUGAUGGACAACGGAGGGAAGGGGUGUAGUGAGCAUAGUUUGAAUGAUGGACAAUGGAAGGAAGGGUGUAGUGAGCAUAGUCAGUUUGGAUGAUGGACAAUGGAAGGAAGGGUGUAGUAAGCAUAGUCAGUUUGCAUUUGAAAGUGAUGCUGAAGUCCUCGUCAUUGGGAUGCCAGAGGGAUCUGGGUCACAAAACAUACAGAAACAUUUGUUUGUGAGUGUUGCGUGCAUUUGCACAUUUUUCAUGGGGAAAAGUCCAUCUGAUGAUCAAAAAAGUGUGUGUCCCAGCAAAGGUGCAGAAAUUAUUAUCAUUUGAUUUUCUGGUUAAUAGUAUGUGAAAGUAUUUUAAAGACAAUCUACUACUCAUCAUUUCAAUAAGAGAUAAUCUAAAAAUUACCCAUCUUGUAUGAAACAAAGAAAAGAAUCAGAGAAAUUAUAUAUUUAUUAUUCCUUAAAUGUUAUUUUUCUUCCUUUUACUUCUCUUCUAUAUUCACUGUUGCGGCAUUAUAUUGAUUUUUGUUUUCUUUUUGUAAUUUGGAAAGCAGCUAUGUUCACUAUUAUAUAAACAAUGCUUGAGAGUUUUCUUAUGUUGUUAUUAAAGUUGGUGUUCAGGUAAAUUACAUUAUCUAAUGAUUUCAUUUCAAGGUAAAACACAAACAGUUUUAUGUCUUAAAGAGGGCCUUGGUCUGAUAGGAAUGAGAACCACUCUGCCAUGCCCUAUGCGAACAAUUCUAAUUGAGUAAAAUCUAAUACUUUGCAAACUGUCCCAAGAGAGCUUACUGAUUUUACGGCAGAAGAAAAAGUUUCUAUGUAGAACUCUAUGUUUGAGAGGAGGAGAGGGGCUACAGCUAAGUAUAGAGAAAAAACAAGGUUCCAUAAUCAAGAAAGAAAAAGGUGGAAUCUGAGUCUGUCUUUUUCGUCUUUACCUCUGUGUGUGUAUGUUCUAUACCAUCAUGUCUCAUUUUUCUUUAUCUCUUAAAGGGCAAUGUGUGCACACAGCAGGCAUAUAUGUGUUAAUUGAUUCAUACUCCACACAAUCCCCAUUUCUCUUGUUCUUAUCCCGACCACAAUGGAGUUCAAUAGAGCUAACAAUGGAAAAGAUAAUGAGUGGGUCUAAAUUCAAUCCCCUUUUGUUUAAGCUAAUCUCCCUCUCUAAUUAAUGGCUGUUCAUACCAUUAUUGCUCACGAAUCUGGCGACAGUUCUCUGCAUCGGCGCAGGAAGCACUCUGUGAAAUCAUGUUGUCAAAGGGGACAGCAUAGUCCAGCUCCCAUUGCACCCUUGGUGACUUUUGGCCUAAUGAAAAAGGUGUGUGGAACAUGGAAACCAGAAGGAGCCCUCUCCUGUUAGUGCAGAGCUCCUGCUCCUGGGUUGCAUUCUAGCUUUCGUCACACAUUUUAAAAUCCAAAUGUAAGAAUGAUGUACCUUUGAAAAGACAGUGGGUUACAAUGAGGGACUGAAGGAGUGGGCAGGGUCAAGUAGGGAGGGAAGAGAGAGAAGGCACAAGAGGAGCUGUGAGGAAAUAUCUCCCAGCCUCCAUCCUCACCCUCCCUGAGCUUCCGCAGGGCUGAGGCUUCCUCUGCUGAGCUUGCGCACUUGGAGAAGCCCCCUCUGGGUGGUGAUUUCUGUGCUGCAGUUGACUCCCACAGUUUGACACACACACGCACACACACACUCAAAGUCUGCAAAGGCACCAGCAGCAGUACAUACAUGCUUUCCUAAUAGAAUGCUGCUUUUAAUAAACAGGCAGCCUCUUACUCUUUUAGUUUUUGUGGACUUCAUUGUUUAAAACUGUAAAUAAACAAAGAACUCUGGAUUCCUCAUCCAUACUAUUAAGUGUUAGUGUUUCCUUUACUGGAAGCCUUCAACGUAUCAGAAACUGUGCAGGGCGAUAGGGUACACAGAGGCCAAAGCCAAGGCUACUGCUUUGCGGGAACUCUCAAGCCAGGUGCUUAGAGACGGCUGUGUAUUGCGGACCUCAGCCACGGAGGGCUGAAUUUCACAGAAAUCUUGGUAUAUAUUUGUCACAUGUGUUGCUUAAUUAACAUUUCCAAAUAGUAAUUUUAGUCACCUCUAGAAUAAUCCAAUUAUACGUACAGUCACGUGUCACUUAAUGAAGGGAAUACGUUCUGAGAAAUGCAUCCUUAGGUGAUUUUGCCACUGUGUGAACAUCAUAGAGUGCACUCAUACAAACCCAGACGGCGCAGCCUCCUCCACACCCGGGCCACAUGGUACAGCCUGUUGCUCCCGGGAUACACACCUGCCCAGCAGGGGACGCUACUGAACACUGCAGGCAGCUGGAACACAAUGGUACGUAUUUAUGUAUCUAAACAUAAUAAACAGAGAAAAGGUACAGUAAAAACAUGGUAUAAAAAGUGGAAAAUGGUACACUUCUAUAGGGCGCUUAACCACGAAUGGAGCUAGCAGGACUGGAAGUUGCUGGGAAACCAUAUGGUCCCAUCUUCGAAGAGUUUUCAGUCUAGGAGGGGAGGCAGCUUCACGAACAGUGAUUGCCGCAGAAUGUGGUCAGUACAUCGUCACGCAUCCAGGCACCACCACGGCGUGAUGCGGGGAGCGAGGAGCCAUGAAGUCAGGCAAAAGCAUGGAAAGAAAGAUCUUCGAAAAGGAGGGGGCCUGCAAAAGAACUGAAACAUGAAAAGCCGUUGAAACAAAACUGACAGGCAAUAUGGUCAAGUUCCUGAUGACCCAAAUGAUCACUCAUUCAGGCAGCUUGGCUCACCAAGAACAGACCUGGGGGCGGCCUGGGAGCGGGUAUCAGACUGCCACAGGUUAACAUAGAGAAGCGAGGUGAUGCUGGAUGCAGUGGGUCACGCCUGUAAUUCCAGCAUGUUGGGAAGCCAAGGCAGGAGGAUCACUUGAGGCCAGGAAUUGCAGACCAGCCUGGGCAACACAGUGUGAUGUCGUCACUCCAAAAAAUAAAUAAAAGAUUAGCUGGAUGUGGUGGUACGUGCCUGUGGUCCCACCUGCUUGGGAGGCUGAGGUGGGAGGAUCAUUUCAGCCCAGGAGUCCCAGGCUGCAGUGAGCCAUCAUCACGCUACUGCACCCCAGCCUGGGCGGCAAAACAAGACCCCCUACCUACAAAAAAAGAAAGAAGAGAAAAGUGAGGUCAUGCAGUGCAGGGGGCUUCCUGCAAUCCUAGAUCUUCAUGACUCCUGGCGCUUCUGUUGUCAGGACACUCAUUAAAACCCACCCCAUGAGCCUCUUUUUCUACCACCGUCGCCCCCUAUGAGUUUCCUUUUAUGCUACCAUCUGCCACGAUAAGCCUCUUCUUUCCACCAUCACACCCGUGAGCUUCUUGAGCUCAGGGACAUGUCUCAUUUGACUUGGCACCUAUGUUUGCUAUUACGAUACUGUGUAUUUAUAAGGCACCACAAUGUAUGAUUGUUACAUCAAUAAAUCAUCAGCAAACCUUGAAGAUUUAAUUGGGAAAAAAAUCAGCUUUUGUGGCAAGUCAAGAGUCCACAGGAGGCAGCUACUGGGGUCGGUGCUGUUGAGACUGCAAGGCCUGAGGAGCUGGAACCGUGACAGAUUGGAAACAGCACCUCCUCCUACCACAGGCUUUAUUCACAAGUAUAAUUUAUUUUUUCUGUGUAGGAGCUUGAGGGAUUUCAGAGCAUGACAUCGAGUAAAUGUAUUUUACAUGUUAUUCCUUCCUUGGCAUCAUGGUUUGAGCCAUUCAAAUAUCUUCAUAAUCAAAAGCAUAAUAAAUUAUGACUAAAACGGUGUACCUGUGAAAACGUCCCUCGCACUCUCCCCAGUUGGAGGCUGUGCUUUUACGGUCGCAGACAGCAGGGCUGUUUGUGAGAGCAGCAGGGCUCUGCGGCUGGAGCUGAGUCAGAAGACGCCUGGCCUGCACUGCGGAGGUGCGGAGACCACAGAGGUCGGCGUGGCUCCAUCACAGCUAGAGGAUUCUGGGACAUAAUAUCCGCUCUGGACUGAAUGGUUAAGUCCCUCCCAAAUUCAUGUUAAAACUCUAAUCCCCAGGAAGACAGUAUUAGGAGGCACGGCCUUUGGAAGGCGAUUAGGCCAGGAAGGGCUUAUUGCCCUUAUAAAGGAGAGGGCUCCUGUCCCCUUCAGCCACGGGAGGCCACAGUGAGAAGGCGCCAUCCAGAAGCCCGGACAGUAGCCCUCACCAGAUGCCAAAUCUCCCUGCACCUUGACCUUGGACUCCUUCACCUCCACAACUGUGAGAAAUAAAUCCUUCAUUGCUUAUAAGCCA
rnacentral:lncRNA from 1 species